GUGCCUACAAGAGAGUUGGAGCGUCGCCAUUGCCGCAGAGAAAGCAAGGUCCUGAACUCACACAAGCGCACCCCACUGAUAAGAGGCCCGCGCGAGCUGACCUCAUCCCCAUAAGACUACUCACCCACCCGGCGCAAGUACACCUGCGCAGCCGUUUAUAUCCAUCCGAGAGCACCCCCCCACAAAAAAAAGAGGAGGAAACCCUAUCCUCACUACGCUCGCCCCGAGAAUAAAAUCACAAGACGAUGUCGUCGAUGGACUCGAUGCGCCUGCAGGCGACAAUCCGCCUCAUUCGGCAGUGCAAAACCUCCGAGGAGGAGCGGUCAAACGUGAAAAUCAUCAGUGCGCAACUGCGGAAGGGGUUCGCCGAUGCGAAGCCGUACAUUCGAGUGCGGUACAUGCUGAUGCUUCUCUACAUUCGGAUGCUUGGGUACCCGACGGAGUUUGCGCACAUGGAGGUGUUGAAGCUCUUGUCGCAGACCGAUUUCUCCGGCAUUCGCGUCGGCUAUCUCGCGCUGCAGCUUCUGUUCAGCGAGAGCGACGAAGUUCUGACGCUUGUGGAGAAUCGCAUGAUUGCACACCUAAGCGUUGCAGGGUCUCGCCGGGGCAUCUCGUACGAGCAGCUCUGCCUCAUUGGCAUCUCGCUGAAUGCGGCAGCCAACAUCGCCAGCGAGGACAUGUGCCGUGACCUCCUCGACUCCAUCUUGCACCUCUUCAAAAACAGCCCACAGCAGCUGCGCAGCAAGGCUGCCCUGGCCGCGCUGCGUGUGGUACGCAAGGCCCCUGAUCAGGCGGGGUACAUUCUGGAGCACUGCGCAGACCUCUUUGACGGGAAUACGGAGUCGCUCAUGUGCGUCCUGACGCUCGUCAUCGAAUGCCUGCAGACAGACUCCGGAGCAAAGAUGAUCGGCGCCUUCCGCAAGCACGCCAUGAGCGCCAUGCGGGCGUUGAAGGCGCUCGUGCUCUCGUCUCGGAUCACGGAGGAGGACGUUGGCGGCAUCACGGACCCUUUUCUGCAGGUGAAGCUGCUCCACUUCAUGCGCAUCAUCGGUGCCGGCAGCGAUGUUACUUCGGAAGCGCUCAACGACGUUCUCGCGCAGGUGAUCACGAACACGGACGCGACGCGUAACGUGGGCUGCGCCGUCUUGUACGAGUGCGUGCGCACGAUCAACGCCAUCGAGAGCGAUGAAGGUCUUCGCACCCUUGCCGUCAACACGAUCAGCCGCUUCCUCUCCUCCGUCAAGGAUAACAACCUGCGCUUUGUGGGGCUCCAGACGCUGCUCAUGUACUCGAGCAAGGACUUCGACGCCGUGGUGCAACAUCAGGCGAUCGUGCUCGAAUGCCUGCGGGACGCCGACCUCUCGAUCCGCCGCCGUGCGCUGGACCUCACGGUGACGCUCAUCACGGUGAACAACGUGCGGCUUCUUGUGCCGGACCUCAUCGCGUACAUGUCGCUCUGUUCCGAGGAAAUGAAGGGCGACGUGGCGCGGCACAUUUGCAGCGUGAUUGAGACGCACUACCCCAGCGAUAUUUGGCGUGUCGACUACUCCAUCCGUUUUCUCAAGGUGGCGAAGCAGUUUGCCCCGCUGGACUUUGCCUGCAACCUGCUCGCCGUUCUCUCGAGCCAGACAAAGGACGUGCAAACGCGUGCGGUGGAGGCGUUAUGGGAGGAGGCCUCGUACCCGUUCGAUGCGCGGCAUCAGUCUCGCAAGGCGUUCCUCAUGGUGGCGCUGUGGUGCAUUGGUGAGUACGUGGAGCUGCUGCUUGGCGCCGUGAAGGGGCUGACGGGUGCGGACGUGGCGACGUGCCUUAGCAGUCUCAUCACAAAUACAAGCUUCACUCUCAUCAAGCAGUAUGGUCUGACGGCGCUUAUGAAGGUCGCGACCAAGUGCCCCGACGCCAAGCCGCAGGCUAUGGCUACGUUCGCGAGCAAUAUGACUAGCAUGGACUGCGAGCUGCAGCAGCGCGCGUGCGAGUACACUACACUGCUAGUAGACUUCCCGCAGGAAGCAGUGUUUAGCUUUAGUCAAAUGCCGCCCAUCAACCCCGAGGCCGACGCCGUGAAACCGGUAGAAGUUGUGUCGCUGACGCAGGAGCAGCUUCACCAGGAGACGACCAACACGCUCGAUGACCUCUUCAACUUCGACGGUGCCACCAAGCCCUCCUCUCCCAGCACAGACACGCCAACCCUGAUAGGUGGCUCAUCCUCGCAAGUCAACUCGCUUUUUUCUCCCGACUCGGCCUUUCCGACGGUGUCGCAGCGCGCACCGAGCAGUACGAACGCGUUUGACGGCAUCUUCGGCGACAGCGGCGACGGAUGCGCACCGGCUGUCUCUGGAUCGACGAUGAUGGCUGACGCAAGCGUGAAGUCUGAGUCCGCGUCUCCCACGGGCGCAGGAGGCGUGAUUGGUGUGCCCGUCUGCAGCUGCGCCGACUUCGAUGUCCUGCUCUCAGGGCGGAUGGAGGGCAGCAUCAUCUUUGCCGAUCUCGCCGUACAGUCGAAGCUCAGCGACGCGGUGGAGCAGCUGAGCUUUAGUGUGGCUGUGCUUCGGAUGUGCACCGUCGAGGUGGCGCCGCUGCCGAGCACUAUCGCGCCGUACGGAGUAGCCGCGCAGCGGCUGAAGGUGGACAACACGCAGAACACGGCGAACCCGCACAUGCUGGCACUACGAGUAAGGAUUUCGUAUACUGUGCGCGGCGAACCGCGAGAGCAGAUGUUCCAGGUUUCCCAGGCAUUGUGACUGCCCGGUGUUGUCUCUCUCUCUCUCUCUCUCGGCGGCGACACAAGCGCGCAUGCGUGUGCUCGAUCACGCCGGAGGGGGAGGCCCGAAAAGGGAAUACCCUGCAUUCCCACAGCGCGUUCGCCGUGCUUUAUGCAGGUGUGAGGCUCUCGGUUUGCUGUCUGCUUGCUUGCUCUUCUUACGGUCCUUGGCCGCUGCCUGCGGUGGUGGUGGCGCUGCGGGGCCGCUGGAUGAGGCCGCCGUCGUCGCACGGUGAAUUCCGUCUCCCUAUCUCUAUAUCUAUACCGUCACCUCAUGCUUUUUUGUUUCUGAUACAGCGACGGGAUUUUUCGUAGACGAGCUGAAGGGGGGAUGCCCUGUAUUCGUUUUGUUGUUCUUUGGAGUUUGCCCCGUGACCGACAACACGACGGGUUGCCACGCGUGUUCUUGUGCUUUCAGCAUCCUAUGCGCGGAGCCGUCUUUGCUUGUCGUGCGUCUAUCGUUCCUCUGUGCUUGUGUGCCGUGCCCCCGAACACGUGAGCGAAGCGCGUCCCAUUUUUGCGUGGUUGGCUUGUGCGCAUCUGCCUUCUUGCCACGCCCUAUCACGCUGUUCGCCCCAUGCGUGUGCCAGGAGAGUGGGGGCAGGGACGAACGGGAAGGCCUGCGCUUCCGACCCCCUCUACAGACGCCCGGCCGACUCCUCGUGUACUUCCGCCGAAGGUGUUGCGUGGAGUGCCACAACAAGAAACAAGUUGUGAUACAGGGUGCCGCCACGCUGAGCAUCAGCAUUGCAUCGCCAGUCGCCUUCGGUCGCUGUCUCUGUCGUCUCUCCAGCUCCGCUUUCCGUGCGUGCUCUCUCCCUUCUUCGCUUCGUGUCUAUUCCUCCGCACACGCCCCCACGCGCGCACAG
rnacentral:misc_RNA from 1 species